rnacentral:tRNA from 1 species
AAGGUUAUGUAAUGUUUUACUAACAUCUCGUUUAUUGAGAGAGACAUAAUGGCUAUGGUGUUGGCUUGAAACCAAUUUCAGGGGGUUCGAUUCCUUCCUUUCUUA